AUGCACAUACUUACAUAUGUACACAUGAUAUAUGUAUAGGUAUAAAUGUGUGUAUGUAUAUGUAAUUAUAUUUGUUUGUGUGAGUGUGUGACUAUGCAUAUGUAUGUAUAUAUAUAUGCAAAAAUACUGUAACAUCACCAUAGUUGACUGCACAUAUACAUGUGUCUGUCUGUCUAAUAAUAUGUGAUAUUUGGGUGGCUAUACAAUAUGUUCAUAUUCAUACUUACCGAAAAAAAAAAGAAAGAAAGACAAAAAAAAAUUGUUAUUCUAUACCAUUCUAUGAAACAACAGAGAAAAAACAAAAAUAAGAAAAAAAUAAUUUGGUUGGGAUUUUUUUCCAACAAAUGUAAAAUUCCCUACAAUUUUUGAAACAUCUCCUAGUUGUUACAGUUAAUGUUAUUGCUUCAAAGUAAUUUUAAAUUUUUAUCCUGCCUUAUGUUGUUGUUGUUGUUGCUCUUGCUUCUCAUUCCCCGCCGCUGCCACCACUACCACCACCACCACCGCCGCCUCCACCGCCAUCUCUUUCUCCCACCACCCCAAACUCACUCAUUCAUGCAUUCAUAACUCAUGGGAAAGAUCUAAACCUCAUAAGCCUUGACUGAAACUUUUCUUCCUCCACCAAUAGGAGACUGGUCGUUGUAAAGGGACUGAAUGACUAGGGCCUGUUGCUCUUUUAAGAAGAUUUUUAAAAAUGUAUUUCAAAAGCCCAGUUGCAUUGUGGAAGAACCAUUUAAAAACACACAGAAAUUGUUUAACUCUUUAGCAUUCAGGAUGCUCUGUCAAAUGUAAUGCUUAUUUAUUCACAUUGUUUUUAAUUAAUCAUGCAUUACCUCGAGGCUUUGUGAUUACUUAUUUUUCGGAUGAAAUUGUAGAGUAAGGUGAUGGUGUGUGGCUUUGUCAUAAUGACAGGACUUUGACAAACCUGGCUAAUUGAUUGAGUGACCGCACAAUUAAUCAAACAAUCGAAUAGCUAAUUGACAAAUAAAAAUGAAGUGAAAUAGAACCAGUGAAUGUAUUUAAUACUGUAAGCAUAAUGACCUGCCCAAGGUACAACAAAAUACAUUUAAAUUCAUUUUUUUUUCAUUGAUAUGUUUUCUUUGUUAUUUGACCGUGACCAGGUCACUGCUGCAUGACAAUAUGAAGGGAAAGUGAAUUUUAAUAGUCUCUGUUUCUUCACUGAAAUGAUUCUUCCACGAUGUAACUACUUUAACAUCAACAACACACUCAGUCUCAGACUAAGCCAUUCACUAGACAUGUACAAAUCCCACAAAGAAAAGAGGAGAAAGAAAUACUUUUCAACAUUCCCAUUUGUUAAUAUUUAUUUCUACCCAUGCUGUUUUAGGUAUGGAACAAACAUUAAUUCUGUUCAGUUGCCUCUAUGCGUGUAUGUGUGUUUUUAUGUAUGUGGGGAGAUGAAGUGUUGAGCAAGCUGGCUUUAUGCCUGGUAUUGAGAGGUUUAAGUAUGAGGUAUGCCUAUGUGUACAUAAAUGUGUACAUAUAUAUAUAUUUAUAUUUAGUUGUCUAAGAAUCCAUAUAUACACUCAUGUUUUUGUCAGUAGAGUGAGUAUAUAAGUCAACAUGUUCAGCAUUAUAGGGCCAUUACAGUGUGUUUCUAGAUAACUGUGCUAUUGAUUAUAUAACUGGUGUGAAACUGAUUAAGAUCAACUGAAAUGGGUGUAUAAUACUGUAUAUUUAUAUAUAUAUAUAUAUAUAUAUAUAUAUAUAUAUAUAUAUAUAUGUUGAAUUUUACCUCCCCUAUCACCACCACCACCACUUUAUUGACAACUGCUGUAGGUUUGUUUAUGUCUCCAUAACUUAAGUUUCAGCAACAGGAGACCAAUAGAACAAGUGCUGGGGUUCAAUUUGUUCAGAUAAAUCCUUGAAAGCAUUACUCCAGCAGGGCUGCAGCCCAACAACAAUCUAAACAAGCAAAAGAUUAAAAAUAAAAAGUUUUUCUUUUUUCUUUAAGAGGUAAAACUAAAGAUCAGUAUUGACACAUGACUCUAUCUCUUAAGUUCUGAGAUUCUUGCAUUGCUUUGCUUUCUCAAAUGUUUGCAAUACUAUUCAAUAUUACCGAGAUGAGGAAUUUUUAUCUUGUAUGCUGUUUAUAUUGGUCAAAUUGGUGUCCUUAUCUUGAUUGUUGCUUUCACUACAUUUCAGCUGUUGUCUGCUCCAGCCUUCUUCAGGUGUCUUUUGUUGAACUCAGUUGUAUCAGAAUUUUGAACCUAACGCUUUGCACUCUGCAUUUUGUGACGUUUUUUUCUUUCGGUGCCUUGCCUGGGACUGAACUCAGAAUCUCUACAUGACUGUAUAGCGUGGUAAAGACAUUGGUUAAUGCAGUGCAGACACCUAGAGGUUCUGAAUUCAAUUCUUGGCCAGGCACUAAGAUAAUUCACAAAAAUCAACUGAAGUGAAAAUGUCAUGAAACACAGAGAACAGAUUGAGAACAGUGUACCCCCAUGAAUCAAAUAAUGGGUUAGGUUCCAAAUUCCAAUACAACCCCUGAAAUGUAGUGAAAGCAACAAUCAAGAUAACGACACCAGUUCAACUAACAUAAACAGUAUACAUAAAUGUUUACUCUGUUUGAUGAAAUUCUGAUGAAAUGUGAAUGGAAAAACUUUUUAUGAUAACUUGUACAGUAUUUAAUAAGAAAAAAAAAAUCUGUGAGAAAUGUAAUAAUAGAAUUGUCAAGGAAUUUUUGCUUGUAGACUAAUUCCUAAAUCUUAAACCACCAGAUGAUUAGUAUUGGUGGUCGAUUGACAGAGUGAUAGUGUAUGUAUCAAUCUAUGUAUGUAUAUGUGUGUAGUGAGUUUGAAUGUGAAUGUGUGGUUCUCACUCCAGCAAAGGUGAUUGAGACCCAACUAUAAGGUCCAGAUCCUAACCCUUUAAUUUGUCAGAUCCGGUUAUUCUCUGUUGAGAAGUUGUAAACACCCAAAAAUUAUUUUACAACAAUCAUUUCUUCAUACACAAAUAAAACUGAAAUUUUUCUCCCCACCCCCACCCAAUUUCUUCGCUACCAUCUAAAAACAUUACAUUUUAUUGUUAAAUUCUGUUGUUUUAUCUUAAUUCAUUAAUUAGAAGGUAAGGUUGGGGUCAACUGUCAGUAACAAUCCACUUGUUAGGCCAAACUGAUGUUUCCAUUUGCAAUCAUAUCAAUUAAAAAUGAAUCAUCACAGUCACUUGACUUGUGCUAGAAAUAGCAACAACAUGCAAACCAGGUAUUUCUUAGAUGUUCAAUUUUUUUUUCUACACCUUGUAGAAAAACAGAACAUGGUGGGGAAAAAAACCCGCAAAACACUAAAAACUUUUAUGUAUAAAUUAUAUUUUGUUUUGUUAAACUCUUUAUCACAUUCAUGUCUUUCACACCCCAAGAUCUAAGAAUGAUUGUAACACACCAACUCAUUUUGAUUGCAUUCCAUGGUUCUAACCAUUAUUUAUGUAUUAUAUUUGAAUUUUUUUUUUUGUCAAUUUUGAUUUUUUGUAAAUUUUGUUUUUGAUUUUAAUGUUAUGUUUGCAUUUUUUUCUUUCAAGAUUUUAUUCUUUAUACAAAACACUGGAGUGGUGCUACAGAAUUUUCUGGGACCAAUUAACAAAUUUAUUUUUAUUGUAUAUUAUAGUAUAAUAAAAGGGCACUAGAUUAGCAAAACCGUUAGUGAUAUACUAAAUGCUUUGCAGUAUUUAGUUAUGCUCCUUCACAUUCCAAGUUGAAAUCCUACCAAGAUUGGUUUUACUCUUUGAUCCUUCUGGGGUCAAUAAAAUAAAGUACUAGUCAAGUACUGGGGUCAGUUUUAUCAAUUAACCCCUGCCCCCAAAAUUUUCAGGUCAUGUACCCACAUUAGAAACUUAUUAAUACUGUGAUGCUUGAUUACUCAACUUUUUUUUUUUCUUUUGCUUGCUCCUCAUGUUUUAUCUGUUAUUCUUUAACUCCCGUUCUUCUCUGCCAGUCAUUCCCAACUCUGUUAUAAACAUCAUCUUUGUAAAUUUGCGUCAUUCUAUUUCACUGUUUAGGUGUCACUGCUGAUAGAGGAUGUCACCAGAUGUCUCCAGUGACACUAAUUAGUUGGUACAACUAAUUCACCACCACCACCUCACCUGUUUCAACAAUGAUAUCAGUAAUUUGAAUGUGUAUCAUAAACUUUCACUAGUUCAAACAUAUAUCAUAAAAAUCAUUUCUCUCAUCA